rnacentral:rRNA from 1 species
UAGGGAAUCUUCCGCAAUGGACGCAAGUCUGACGGAGCAACGCCGCGUGAGUGAAGAAGGAUUUCGGUUCGUAAAACUCUGUGGUUAGAGAAGAACAGCGCAUAGAGUAACUGUUAUGCGUGUGACGGUAUCUAACCAGAAAGCCACGGCUAACUACGUGCCAGCAGCCGCGGUAAUACGUAGGUGGCAAGCGUUGUCCGGAUUUAUUGGGCGUAAAGCGAGCGCAGGCGGUCAAUUAAGUCUGAUGUGAAAGCCCCCGGCUCAACCGGGGAGGGUCAUUGGAAACUGGUUGACUUGAGUGCAGAAGAGGAGAGUGGAAUUCCAUGUGUAACGGUGAAAUGCGUAGAUAUAUGGAGGAACACCAGUGGCGAAGGCGACUCUCUGGUCUGUAACUGACGCUGAGGCUCGAAAGCGUGGGUAGCAAACAGG